rnacentral:ncRNA from 1 species
AAUCAGUCUCACNCAAUGCACGGGCCGAAAGGGAAACGGGUUAGGAUUCCCGUACCCGAAGGCGGAGCACAAGCGGCGACGCAAAGAAGGUCGGAUACACCGUCGGGAGAGUCGAGAAGAGUUAACUUUUCUUUNUGAGGUGCGCUCGCUGACCCUGGAAGCGGUUCUGCCGGAGAUAGGGAGCGAGAGCAAUCAACUUUAUCCGCAAAGCCGGCUCCAGCGGGGGCCUGUUCGGCUACGACUCGACGGUCCUUGAAACUCCGACGGCUAAACUCUUUCUUUUUUUAUUUUGAAAUAAUGUGUUCGCUCUCGCCUCGGGCCG